UACGUAGGGGGCAAGCGUUGUCCGGAAUCAUUGGGCGUAAAGCGCGCGUAGGCGGCCCGGUAAGUCCGUUGUGAAAGUCAAAGGCUCAACCUUUGAACGCCGAUGGAUACUGCCGGGCUAGAGUACGAAAGAGGAUCGCGGAAUUCCCGGUGUAGAGGUGAAAUUCGUAGAUAUCGGGAGGAACACCGGUGGCGAAGGCGGCGAUCUGGGUCGAUACUGACGCUGAGGUGCGAAAGCGUGGGGAGCAAACAGG
rnacentral:rRNA from 1 species